UGCAGUCGAACGAUGAUCCGGUGCUUGCACCGGGGAUUAGUGGCGAACGGGUGAGUAACACGUGAGUAACCUGCCCUUAACUCUGGGAUAAGCCUGGGAAACUGGGUCUAAUACCGGAUAUGACUCCUCAUCGCAUGGUGGGGGGUGGAAAGCUUUUUGUGGUUUUGGAUGGACUCGCGGCCUAUCAGCUUGUUGGUGAGGUAAUGGCUUACCAAGGCGACGACGGGUAGCCGGCCUGAGAGGGUGACCGGCCACACUGGGACUGAGACACGGCCCAGACUCCUACGGGAGGCAGCAGUGGGGAAUAUUGCACAAUGGGCGCAAGCCUGAUGCAGCGACGCCGCGUGAGGGAUGACGGCCUUCGGGUUGUAAACCUCUUUCAGUAGGGAAGAAGCGAAAGUGACGGUACCUGCAGAAGAAGCGCCGGCUAACUACGUGCCAGCAGCCGCGGUAAUACGUAGGGCGCAAGCGUUAUCCGGAAUUAUUGGGCGUAAAGAGCUCGUAGGCGGUUUGUCGCGUCUGCCGUGAAAGUCCGGGGCUCAACUCCGGAUCUGCGGUGGGUACGGGCAGACUAGAGUGAUGUAGGGGAGACUGGAAUUCCUGGUGUAGCGGUGAAAUGCGCAGAUAUCAGGAGGAACACCGAUGGCGAAGGCAGGUCUCUGGGCAUUAACUGACGCUGAGGAGCGAAAGCAUGGGGAGCGAACAGGAUUAGAUACCCUGGUAGUCCAUGCCGUAAACGUUGGGCACUAGGUGUGGGGGACAUUCCACGUUUUCCGCGCCGUAGCUAACGCAUUAAGUG
rnacentral:rRNA from 1 species